AUUGAACGCUGGCGGCAGGCCUAACACAUGCAAGUCGAACGGUAACAGGAAGAAGCUUGCUUCUUUGCUGACGAGUGGCGGACGGGUGAGUAAUGUCUGGGAAACUGCCUGAUGGAGGGGGAUAACUACUGGAAACGGUAGCUAAUACCGCAUAACGUCGCAAGACCAAAGAGGGGGACCUUCGGGCCUCUUGCCAUCGGAUGUGCCCAGGUGGGCUUAGCUAGUAGGUGGGGUAACGGCUCACCUAGGCGACGAUCCCUAGCUGGUCUGAGAGGAUGACCAGCCACACUGGAACUGAGACACGGUCCAGACUCCUACGGGAGGCAGCAGUGGGGAAUAUUGCACAAUGGGCGCAAGCCUGAUGCAGCCAUGCCGCGUGUAUGAAGAAGGCCUUCGGGUUGUAAAGUACUUUCAGCGGGGAGGAAGGGAGUAAAGUUAAUACCUUUGCUCAUUGACGUUACCCGCAGAAGAAGCACCGGCUAACUCCGUG
rnacentral:rRNA from 1 species